GUUGAACGCUGGCGGCAUGCCUUACACAUGCAAGUCGAACGGUAACAGGUCUUCGGAUGCUGACGAGUGGCGAACGGGUGAGUAAUACAUCGGAACGUGCCUAGUAGUGGGGGAUAACUACUCGAAAGAGUGGCUAAUACCGCAUGAGAUCUACGGAUGAAAGCAGGGGAUCGCAAGACCUUGUGCUACUAGAGCGGCCGAUGGCAGAUUAGGUAGUUGGUGGGAUAAAAGCUUACCAAGCCGACGAUCUGUAGCUGGUCUGAGAGGACGAUCAGCCACACUGGGACUGAGACACGGCCCAGACUCCUACGGGAGGCAGCAGUGGGGAAUUUUGGACAAUGGGCGCAAGCCUGAUCCAGCAAUGCCGCGUGCAGGAUGAAGGCCUUCGGGUUGUAAACUGCUUUUGUACGGAACGUAAAGCCCUGGGUUAAUACCCUGGGGUCAUGACGGUACCGUAAGAAUAAGCACCGGCUAACUACGUGCCAGCCGCCGCAGUAAUAC
rnacentral:rRNA from 1 species